rnacentral:rRNA from 1 species
CAGUAGCCGCGGGAAUACGGAGGGGGCUAGCGUUGUUCGGAAUUACUGGGCGUAAAGCGCACGUAGGCGGCUUGGUAAGUUAGAGGUGAAAGCCCGGAGCUCAACUCCGGAAUUGCCUUUAAGACUGCCGAGCUAGUAGGUGAGAGAGGUAAGUGGAAUUCCGAGUGUAGAGGUGAAAUUCGUAGAUAUUCGGAAGAACACCAGUGGCGAAGGCGGCUUACUGGCUCAUUCUAGACGCUGAGGUGCGAGAGCGUGGGGAGCAAACAGGAUUAGAUACCCGAGUAGUCCCUGUCUCUUAUAC